UCAAAACUGAUCCCACCAGCCCCCAGCCCUCAGUUUCCUGUUAAGCAGAGAGUGUGAAUGUAUUGCGGUCUGUGGUACAAGGUGUUCACAGAGUCAGAACGAUAACAUAAAUUCAGAAGCACAUAGUCCAGGACGAUACUGAACUGACAGUACAGCUGACCGUGAUGGAUCAACUCUAUGUCAAUGUACAGAAACCCUCCGGUAAACCCAGCAAAAGAAAGGGUGUAGUAAAAGAAAAUAUUUAUGCAAAUGAAGAAGUGAUCCACACUCUGGUGCCAAACACAACUGGAAUAGCACUCCCAGGACUUCACAAGAUGAUUCAAACGACUCCUGUGGUUUGGACUGACUGACAGCGAGACAGAAGGGACAUGGAAACGGGUGGAUAGGAGUCCACUGACCACAAGUGUGUGCAUUUAGUGUGUGUGAUGAGUUGCAAGUGGUGCUCCCUGAUUGGCUCAGGUGGCAGGAUAGCUGCUGGCUUAUUGGCAGACGCAGAUGAUUUAAACACCAGCUGAUGCUUCCACACCUGUCCCUCCUAUUCCCCACAAUGGAGGCCCUCCUGCUAAAUCUCUGAAUUGUGUGUUAGUCAAGUGUAUUUGAGUAGGUUUUGGACUAAAAGAUGUAAGCUAAGUGUGUUAGGCAACUUUCCUACCAUCAGAUAUUUAGAUCAUUGUACAAUGUAAAUAUUUAAAACCAAGGUAGCAGUCACAGUCAGUGGGAGUGAGAAGCCCUUUUCUUUUUUGUUAAUAAUUUUUCUCCUGUUUUUCAUUUAGG